rnacentral:lncRNA from 1 species
AGAGAGCCUCGGCUAGGUAGGGGAGCGGAACUCUGGUGGGAGGGGAGGUGCGGUACACUGGGGGGAUGGGUGGCUAGGGGGGCCGUCUGGUGGCUUGCGGGGGUUGCCUUUCCCGUGGGAAGUCGGGAACAUAAUGUUUGUUACGUUGGGAGGGAAAGGGGUGGCUGGAUGCAGGCGGGAGGGAGGCCCGCCCUGCGGCAACCGGAGGGGGAGGGAGAAGGGAGCGGAAAAUGCUCGAAACCGGACGGAGCCAUUGCUCUCGCAGAGGGAGGAGCGCUUCCGGCUAGCCUCUUGUCGCCGAUUGGCCGUUUCUCCUCCCGCCGUGUGUGAAAACACAAAUGGCGUAUUCUGGUUGGAGUAAAGCUCCUGUCAGUUACGCCGUCGGGAGUACGCAGCCGCUUAGCGACUCUCGCGUUGCCCCCUGGGUGGGGCGGGUAGGUGUGGAAACAGGAAGAGAACUAGAACUGGAAGUAAAGCAUUGAAGAUGUGACUGAAUUGCUGCAAUCUCAUGAUCAAAUUUGAAUGGAUGAGGAGUUGCUUUUUAGGGAUGAGCAAAGAAAGUGGUUUCUCGAGAUGGAAUCUACUGGUGAAGUUGCUGUGAACAUUGUUAAAAUGCCAAUAAAGGAUUUAGGAAUUA